rnacentral:rRNA from 1 species
UCUCUCUUCGGAGGUUGACGAUAAUGUGUAAUGAGCGGCGGACGGGUGAGUAACACGUAGGCAACCUGCCUGUAAGACUGGGAUAACUCGUGGAAACGCGAGCUAAUACCGGAUAACACUUUUCAUCUCCUGAUGAGAAGUUGAAAGGCGGCUUUUGCUGUCACUUACAGAUGGGCCUGCGGCGCAUUAGCUAGUUGGUAAGGUAACGGCUUACCAAGGCGACGAUGCGUAGCCGACCUGAGAGGGUGAUCGGCCACACUGGGACUGAGACACGGCCCAGACUCCUACGGGAGGCAGCAGUAGGGAAUCUUCCGCAAUGGACGAAAGUCUGACGGAGCAACGCCGCGUGAGUGAUGAAGGUUUUCGGAUCGUAAAACUCUGUUGUUAGGGAAGAACAAGUACUAUAGUAACUGAUAGUACCUUGACGGUACCUAACCAGAAAGCCACGGCUAACUACGUGCCAGCAGCCGCGGUAAUACGUAGGUGGCAAGCGUUGUCCGGAAUUAUUGGGCGUAAAGCGCUCGCAGGCGGUUCUUUAAGUCUGAUGUGAAAUCUUACGGCUCAACCGUAAACGUGCAUUGGAAACUGGGGAACUUGAGUGCAGAAAAGGAGAGUGGAAUUCCACGUGUAGCGGUGAAAUGCGUAGAGAUGUGGAGGAACACCAGUGGCGAAGGCGACUCUCUGGUCUGUAACUGACGCUAAGGAGCGAAAGCGUGGGGAGCGAACAGGAUUAGAUACCCUGGUAGUCCACGCCGUAAACGAUGAGUGCUAGGUGUUAGGGGGUUUCCGCCCCUUAGUGCUGAAGUUAACGCAUUAAGCACUCCGCCUGGGGAGUACGGCCGCAAGGCUGAAACUCAAAAGAAUUGACGGGGGCCCGCACAAGCGGUGGAACAUGUGGUUUAAUUCGAAGCAACGCGAAGAACCUUACCAGGUCUUGACUCCUCUGAACCUCUAAAGAUAGAUUUUCCCUUCGGGAACAAAUG